UGCAUAUCCAAAAAGCGGAGGAAAAGAAACCAACAGGGAUUGCCUCAGUAACGGCGAGUGAAGCGGCAACAGCUCAAAUUUGAAAUCUGGCCCUAGGCCCGAGUUGUAAUUUGCAGAGGAUGCUUUUGGUGAGGUGCCUUCCAAGUUCCCUAGAACGGGACGCCAGAGAGGGUGAGAGCCCCGUACAGUUGGACACCAAGCCUUUGUAAAGCUCCUUCGACGAGUCGAGUAGUUUGGGAAUGCUGCUCAAAAUGGGAGGUAUAUUUCUUCUAAAGCUAAAUACCGGCCAGAGACCGAUAGCGCACAAGUAGAGUGAUCGAAAGAUGAAAAGCACUUUGAAAAGAGGGUUAAACAGCACGUGAAAUUGUUAAAAGGGAAGCGCUUGUGACCAGACUUGCGUCCGGUGAAUCACCCAGCUCUCGCGGCUGGGGCACUUCGCCGGCUCAGGCCAGCAUCAGCUCGCUGUCGGGGACAAAAGCUUCAGGAACGUAGCUCUCUUCGGGGAGUGUUAUAGCCUGUUGCAUAAUACCCUUCGGCGGGCUGAGGUACGCGCUCCGCAAGGAUGCUGGCAUAAUGGUCAUCAGCGACCCGUCUUGAACAACGGACC
rnacentral:rRNA from 1 species